UACGGAGGAUGCAAGCGUUAUCCGGAUUUAUUGGGUUUAAAGGGUGCGCAGGUUGUUUGAUAAGUCAGUGGUGAAAGUCUGUCGCUUAACGGUAGGAUUGCCAUUGAUACUGUUGGACUUGAAUAUGGAUGAGGUAGGCGGAAUGUGUAGUGUAGCGGUAAAAUGCAUAGAUAUUACACAGAACACCGAUUGCGAAGGCAGCUUACUAAUCCAUCAUUGACGCUGAGGCACGAAAGCGUGGGGAUCAAACAGGAUUA
rnacentral:rRNA from 1 species